CUGGGAAAGGAGGAAGUUUGGUAUUUUUGCAGUUGCAGAAUGACCUUGUUUUAUCCGUGUUUAGGCAAGAUUAUGAAGUGAUCUUGUCUGUGGUCGCACUCCAUCAGGAUCACAGUGUGACUUUGUCUUAUGCAGGGGUUGUGUCAGGUUGUUAUGUUUUAUAGGGACACACCAUAGAUAGUUCCUAACAACACCAGCCAUAAGGGUGUCAUUCAGCUCCCCAUUCCAGCUGCUGCUUUUCUUUUUCUUACAUUGAACAAAUAUGACUUGAGUAGACAGGUGCUGAGGCUUCUGGGGAAAAUGAGGCAGAGAAAGUGUGUCUUAAACCUUCCAGGAGGAGAAACAAGAGAGAUACAAACUGACUUCAGAAGGUGUACUGUGUGAGAACUUCCUUAAGUUCUAGUUCUUCCCAGAGACCCUCCCGACUGAUGACGUUUGCUCAGAGUUCCAGUUUGUCUUUACCACUAGCUUCUCCUGAAUUCAGACAGUCUGUUUACUCUCUCCAGAGUAUACCAGUGAACUGCUGAUGUGCUCAGGUGAGGAUGGACCUAUUGGUGGGGCUACAGCAGACCAGGGGUGGAGACCUGGGGAUCUGCUUGUUUCUUAGAAAGGCCUUUAAAUGAUUCUUCUGUAUUUACUCCUGAACCUUUGGAGCGUUCUAUGGGAGUAAACUGAGUUGGCUUUUUGGCUUUCUUCAUGAUUGGUCUAGGAUUCAGCUUGUUUAAAUCUGCUGUCAAGUAUCGCCUGCCCAUUUGCUUUAUAAGUUCUGUAAUUUUGUUGCCACUGUUAUUUCACUUACUGUUUUUGUUCUCCUGGGGCUUAAAAGAUCUCCUUACUGUUAUACUAGUGGGUCUUAAGUAGAGAGAGAAUGUAAACGUGUUUAAUUUGCCAUCUCUUGUUGUUAUUGGUUUACACACAUGUUCAUUAAAUGAUGGAAUGACCAAAUGCUGGGCAUCUGCAUGCUUUGUUCAUGUGCUAAGCCUUGUGUUAUCUUUAUACUCAUGUUGGUGUUUGAUGAGAAAUAUAAGUGACUCCCUAGAGUUAAUAGCUAAUAAAUGCGUUUUCCUUA